rnacentral:snRNA from 1 species
AGCUUUGUUCAGUGGCAGUAUCAUAGCCAAUGAAGUUUAUCCAAGGCACGAUUAUUAUUAAUUGAAAACUUACAGGCCAGAAGGACUAGUCAAUGGUUGGUCAAUGGUGUGGGAGAUAGAGGGUCCAUUAUGACAAUACUAGUUGGAAAGGAUCAUUCC